rnacentral:tmRNA from 1 species
CCCCUCGCAAAGCCCCGCGUGAUCGCCUAUGUUCGGGAUGCCGCUUGCGGCUAUGGCGAUAAACGUUGCGUGGAAUAAGCGUUGCGGACCCGGGGGCAGUGCCCGGCGCCUCCACCAGUUCACCCGUCCCUUUGUCGGGGGACGGCGGAUGGGGGCGAAACAGUCUCGACGUGCGCGGUAAAGACGCUGCUUUUGCCCGGCAUGGUACCGCCGUCAUCGGACCAAAUCACAAGUGCCAACGAUAACAGCCGCGAGGCUGUGGCGCUCGCUGCCUAAAUAGGUAAGCGCGGUUCGGGGGGCACCGGGCAACAGAAGCCCCCCACU